ACGCUCGACACCUACGGGAGGCGGCAGUGGGGAAUAUUGCACAAUGGGGGAAACCCUAAUGCAGCGACGCCGCGUGAGCGAAGAAGUAUUUCGGUAUGUAAAGACUCUAUCAGCAGGGAAGAAACUGACGGUACCUGACUAAGAAGCACCGGCUAAAUACGUGACAGCAGCCGCGGUAAUCUGAGCGGGCUGGCAAGGC
rnacentral:rRNA from 1 species